AUUGAACGCUGGCGGCAGGCCUAACACAUGCAAGUCGAGCGGAUGAGGGAAGCUUGCUUCCCGAUUUAGCGGCGGACGGGUGAGUAAUGCCUAGGAAUCUGCCUAUUAGUGGGGGAUAACGUUCCGAAAGGAACGCUAAUACCGCAUACGUCCUACGGGAGAAAGUGGGGGAUCUUCGGACCUCACGCUAAUAGAUGAGCCUAGGUCGGAUUAGGUAGUUGGUGAGGUAACGGCUCACCAAGGCGACGAUCCGUAGCUGGUCUGAGAGGAUGAUCAGCCACACUGGAACUGAGACACGGUCCAGACUCCUACGGGAGGCAGCAGUGGGGAAUAUUGGACAAUGGGCGAAAGCCUGAUCCAGCCAUGCCGCGUGUGUGAAGAAGGUCUUCGGAUUGUAAAGCACUUUAAGUUGGGAGGAAGAGUUGUAAGCUAAUAUCUUGCAGCUUUGACGUUACCAACAGAAUAAGCACCGGCUAACUCUGUGCCAGCAGCCGCCGUAAUAC
rnacentral:rRNA from 1 species